rnacentral:rRNA from 1 species
UACAGAGGUCUCAAGCGUUGUUCGGAUUCAUUGGGCGUAAAGGGUGCGUAGGCGGCGCGGUAAGUCGGGUGUGAAAUCUCGGGGCUUAACUCCGAAACUGCAUUCGAUACUGCCUGUGCUUGAGGACUGGAGAGGAGACUGGAAUUUACGGUGUAGCGGUGAAAUGCGUAGAUAUCGUAAGGAAGACCAGUGGCGAAGGCGGGUCUCUGGACAGUUCCUGACGCUGAGGCACGAAGGUCAGGGGGAGCAAAACGGGG